UGUGUGUGUGUGUGUGUGUGUGUGUGUGUGUGUGUGUGUGUGUGUAGGUAAGGUAGCAGUGAAGAAAGAAGACCUCCAGAGGUAUCAUGGCAAAGACACCUGGUUCCCUCUGAGACACGUCAGCGCUGACUCAGAGGUUCAGGGAAAGGUCCACAUAGAGCUGCGUCUCAGUGAGGUCAUCACAGACAGCGGAGUCGUCUGUCAUAAACUGGCCACACGUGUGUUGGAGUGCCAGGGCCUGCCCAUCGUGAAUGGACAGUGUGAUCCGUACGCUGCGGUAUCCCUGCUGGGCCCAUCCAGGUCAGA